rnacentral:misc_RNA from 1 species
CGAAGAUAUAGCCUUGAGUACAUUCCUUUUCCAGGGCCACCAGUUGAAAAGGAUCCACCUCCGCCCAUCAGCAUCUGAAGAACAGUCAAGGACAUGGCAUUGGAGUCAUCAGACCAACCAUGAGGAAAUUCAAAUGCGAGAGCAAAAUGGAUUCUUUGGUCCCCUGAAUCUGCUUGACAGCGAAAAUCACCUCCUGUGUAAACAGAUUUUGGCACUACAGUAUUACUAGCUUCAGGUAGAUCAGAUAAAAGGGGCUCUGCAAUGCACACCAGUUCCUCAUGUUCAACACCAGAAGCCACAAGUACCAUCCGGCAAGCAGUAAAAUUUUCGGCAACAAAUUCCUCCAAGAUUGUACCGUUCAAUCUAUUUAUUGCAGAUUCAGGUGCCAAAAGAGGAUUAGCUAAUGGACCAGAAAAACCAGCAGAAUGAAUUGCUUCCAAAAGCAAUCCUUGAGGAUUGUUAGAGGUUUCACUAAUCUCAGCUUUGACCUUCUGAAGUUGUUCAUUGACCUCCCAAUCAAGGAAGACAGGAUUUCUCACACAAUCAAUAAGCAACUCCACCAUCUCUGGAACAUAGGUCUUUAGAGCAUCAUAGGUGUAUCCCAUCUGCUCCCGAGAUGCCGAGGCUUGCACAUUGCCCCCAAUUGCCUCAACUUCACGCACAAUACGCAAAUGGCUGCGGUUUCUUGUGCUUUUGAAUGCCAUCCGCUCCAGUAAAUGUGUGAUCCCCAAUGAGGCUGGAGACUCGUAUAUUGAACCACAGUUAACAUACAACCCUACUGAUGCUGCAGGAUUCAGUGAUAUUUCAGAGGCAAUUUUCACGCCAUUUGAGAGUGU